UGUCUGUACAGGUAUUAGAACGUCAGUGUGGGAAGACUCUACCAUGUUGGGUGUCAACACGAUGUCUAUAAACGUAAAUUACGUCACCAACUGGUUCUUGACACAAUAUAUGUAUACAUAGGUAUACGAUCCUGUUGUAUGUUGCGAUGGAGAGGGAAGUCCAAGUAUGUUUUGACCAUAGUGAUUUCAAGCGGAUUAAACUUUCAUUGACUACUACUGUUAUUCUUACCUACGCAUAGCAAACUCAUUGAUAGUCAGGACCUUUCAAUUCUGAUGUGCCAGGCCAAUUGCAUACAACUACAUUUAAGAAGUAUUGAACUAUCAUCUCAGUUCUGUUUAUUACAAUAUGAUGAUUACAUUAUCAAACUCACCGCAUUUCGGUGUUGAGGGCUGGCAGAGGAGGAUGGCAUUUGAUUGAAAAGCGUCGCAGGUGUUGGAUACGCUGAACCAGGUCGACUCAUUUGGUUGUUACAGAGACUGUGAUCCCCGCCGUUGAGAUAUCUUUGAUCUGGUGCUGUUUCGUGCAACACAAAUCCUUUUGGUUGAGAAGAAGGUGCAGCCCACGUUCUUGUAUCUUGAUAUAGCCGUGGGUCUUGCUGAAAUGAUCAGCUGCCCAGCCUCAAUUAAUAAGAUAUUCUAUGAAUAUGAAAUAUACCUGGAGGUUGAGGGCUAUAUCGAUGAUCGACAGGCUGCUGAUAGCCAGCUGCAGCCAUUUCAUUAGCCAGACUUUCUGGCGGUAAUGGUUGUCCCCAUGUCCGUCUCUGUGACUGUGCAUGAUCAUGUAAAUAAAACUGUGACUGCUGGGGAUCUUGAAUUCUGUUUUUGAAAGCUGAGAGGCGAAAUUGUUUUGAACGGGACUCCUGGGUUACGUGUUAGCUGCAGAAAAUUCUGGUAAUGAUCGAGCUUCGAGUUGUUAUACUUGGUUGAAUUUGGCAGGGACUAAAAAGGAUAAUAAAAAUAAUAUACCGUCAAUUGCUUGACUCAACAUUUUGGAUAAUUUAGAAGUUACAUCCUAAAAAUCAAUAAACUAAACAUGCAGUUAUAAAGCAGUGUUCUUUUGUCUGUUCAUGUUAAAACAAAGCUGGCUCUGUUUAUUUGUAUUUUAAUGGCUAGUAAACUCCUAUGUAUGUACACAACAUUAUCUAUUUUUUGAUGGAUAAUUUGCUCAAAACAACUGCGUGCAUAAUUAGUUUUAUAAAAUUCAUAAUUCAUGAUCAAUGGACUGAUACAAUUAGGGACUGCUUGUGGUGUGAUGUGAAUGUUUUCCCGUUUCUGUGUAUGACGCGUACCUGUAGAUGUACAAUAUUUAAUAAAGAACAACCUGUUCAAUA